AACGAACGCUGGCGGCAUGCCUAACACAUGCAAGUCGAACGAGACCUUCGGGUCUAGUGGCGCACGGGUGCGUAACGCGUGGGAACCUGCCCUUAGGUUCGGAAUAACUCCCCGAAAGGGGUGCUAAUACCGGAUAAUGUCUUCGGACCAAAGAUUUAUCGCCUUUGGAUGGGCCCGCGUUGGAUUAGCUAGUUGGUAGGGUAAAAGCCUACCAAGGCGACGAUCCAUAGCUGGUCUGAGAGGAUGAUCAGCCACACUGGGACUGAGACACGGCCCAGACACCCCAGAGCGGUCGCGGGGGGGAGAAUUGGAAAGUGGGUGAAAUUCUAAAGCAUCAUUGCCGGGUAAGAUAUGAAGGGCGUAGGGAUGAAAAGCUCUUUUUACCGGGGUGCAAGCGGCAGUACCGAGAAAAUAAACUGCGGCCAACUCCGU
rnacentral:rRNA from 1 species